rnacentral:lncRNA from 1 species
GCAUGCUUUGUUCUUCAUCUUCUAUUGAUGCAAUAUGAUAUUAUUUCGAUAUCCCUGGAGUUGGAAUGGUAAGAUUGAUUGUUAAUCCUUAUAGAUUUCUUAUUUUUGCUUUAUAUUGCUAUGGUUUUACUUGUGCAGAAGCAGUGAUAGAAAAGAAUAAGAUAAUUGGUUGGCUCAAAUCUAACUUGAAAAUCAAAUGUGAUGUUAUUUCGAUAUCGCUGGAGUUGGAAUGGUGAGAUUGAUUGUUAAUCCUUAUAGAUUUCUUAUUUUUGCUUUAUAUUGCUAUGGUUUUACUUGUGCGGCAGUAGUGAUAGAAAAGAAUAAGAUAAUUGGUUGGCUCAAAUCUAACUUGAAAAUCAAAUGUGAUAGUAUUUCGAUAUCCCUGGAGUUGGAAUGGUGAGAUUGAUUCUUAAUGCUUAUAGAUUUCUUAUUUGUGCUUUAUAUUGGUAUGGUUUUACUUGUGCGGAAGUAGUGAUAGAAAAUAAUAAGAUAAUUGGUUGGCUCAAAUCUAACUUGAAAAUCAAAUGUGAUGGUAUUUCGAUAUCACUGGAGUUAGAAUGGUGAGAUUGAUUGUUAAUGCUUAUAGAUUUCUUA